GAUGAACGCUGGCGGCGUGCCUAACACAUGCAAGUCGAACGGAGAUACGAUGUGAGCGAGAGGUGCUUGCACUGAUUAAUCUUUUCGUAUCUUAGUGGCGGACGGGUGAGUAACGCGUGGGUAACCUGCCUUAUACCGGGGGAUAACACUUAGAAAUAGGUGCUAAUACCGCAUAAGCGCACGGUGUCGCAUGACACAGUGUGAAAAACUCCGGUGGUAUAAGAUGGACCCGCGUCUGAUUAGCUAGUUGGUGAGAUAACAGCCCACCAAGGCGACGAUCAGUAGGGGUUCUGAGAGGAAGGUCCCCCACAUUGGAACUGAGACACGGUCCAAACUCCUACGGGAGGCAGCAGUGAGGAAUAUUGGUCAAUGGACGAGAGUCUGAACCAGCCAAGUAGCGUGCAGGAAGACGGCCCUAUGGGUUGUAAACUGCUUUUAUAAGGGAAUAAAGUGAGUCUCGUGAGACUUUUUGCAUGUACCUUAUGAAUAAGGAC
rnacentral:rRNA from 1 species